GACGAACGCUGGCGGCGUGCUUAAAACAUGCAAGUCGAACGGACUUCUCAUGAAGCUUGCGAUUGAGAAGUUAGUGGCGGACGGGUGAGUAACGCGUGGGCAACCUGCCCCUGAGCCCGGGAUAACAGUUCGAAAGGACUGCUAAGACCGGAUAUACUUGCGGGGAAGCAUUUCACUGCAAGGAAAGGGAACGCUCAGGGAUGGGCCCGCGUCCCAUUAGCUAGUUGGUGAGGUAACGGCCCACCAAGGCGACGAUGGGUAGCCGGCCUGAGAGGGUGAACGGCCACACUGGGACUGAGACACGGCCCAGACUCCUACGGGAGGCAGCAGUUGGGAAUCUUCGGCAAUGGGCGCAAGCCUGACCGAGCAACGCCGCGUGAGUGAUGAAGGUUUCGGAUUGUAAAGCUCUGUCUUCCGGGACGAUAAUGACGGUACCGGAGGAGGAAGCCACGGCUAACUACGUG
rnacentral:rRNA from 1 species